rnacentral:tRNA from 1 species
GGUGGCAUACUGGUUAAGCGCUUGGCUGUUAACCAAAAGGUGGGUGGUUCAAACCCACCAGCCA